GAAUUCGCCCUUAGAGUUUGAUCCUGGCUCAGGACGAACGCUUGCGGCGUGCCUAAGAAAUGCAAGUCGAGCGGGUCAAGCCCCUUCGGGGACUUGGCUAGCGGCGAACGGUCGCGUAACACGUAGGCAACCUGCCCCAGAGACCGGGACAACCCUCCGAAAGGGGGGCUAAUACCGGAUGUGACCCGGAGAGGGAUUCCUUUCCGGAUUAAAUCACUUGGAUUGGCUCUGGGAGGGGCCUGCGGCCUAUCAGCUAGAUGGUAAGGUAACGGCUUACCAUGGCGACGACGGGUAGCUGGUCUGAGAGGAUGGUCAGCCGGACUGGGACUGAGAGACGGCCCAGACUCCUACGGGGGGCAGCAAUUAGGAAUCUUGCGCAAUGGGCGCUAAGCCUGACGCAGCGACGCCGCGUGGAGGAGGACGGCCUUCGGGUUGUAAACUCCUUUUGUCCCGGAAGAAGGAUGUGACGGUACGGGACGAAUAAGCCCCGGCUAACUCCGUGCCAGCAGCCGCGGUAAUACGGAGGGGGCCAGCGUUGUCCGAAGUUACUGGGCGUAAAGGGCGCGUAGGCGGGAAGCUAAGUCCGCUGUCAAAGCCCGGGGCUCAACCCCGGAAGGUCGGUGGAGACUGGUUUUCUUGAAGCUGCCAGGGGGAGAUGGAAUUACCGGUGUAGCGGUGAAAUGCGUAGAUAUCGGUAGGAACACCAGUGGCGAAGGCGGUCUCCUGGAGCAGUCUUGACGCUGAGGCGCGAAAGCUGGGGGAGCGAACGGGAUUAGAUACCCCGGUAGUCCCAGCCCUAAACGAUGGAUACUAGGUGUCCGGGGUAUCGACCCCUCGGGUGCCGCCGUUAACACAGUAAGUAUCCCGCCUGGGGAGUACGGCCGCAAGGUUGAAACUCAAAGGAAUUGACGGAAGGGCGAAUUC
rnacentral:rRNA from 1 species